rnacentral:rRNA from 1 species
CCCAGACUCCUACGGGAGGCAGCAGUGGGGAAUAUUGCACAAUGGGGGAAACCCUGAUGCAGCGACGCCGCGUGAGCGAAGAAGUAUUUCGGUAUGUAAAGCUCUAUCAGCAGGGAAGAAAAAAAUGACGGUACCUGAGUGAGAAGCACCGGCUAAAUACGUGCCAGCAGCCGCGGUAAUACGUAUGGUGCAAGCGUUAUCCGGAUUUACUGGGUGUAAAGGGAGCGUAGGCGACGCGUUAAGUCUGAUGUGAAAACCCGAGGCUCAACCACGGGAGUGCAUUGGAAACUGGCGGGCUGGAGUGCCGGAGAGGUAAGCGGAAUUCCUAGUGUAGCGGUGAAAUGCGUAGAUAUUAGGAGGAACACCAGUGGCGAAGGCGGCUUACUGGACGGCAACUGACGCUGAGGCUCGAAAGCGUGGGGAGCAAACAGGAUUAGAUACCCUCGUACA